rnacentral:rRNA from 1 species
AGUGAACGCUGGCGGUAGGCCUAACACAUGCAAGUCGAACGGCAGCACAGUAAGAGCUUGCUCUUACGGGUGGCGAGUGGCGGACGGGUGAGGAAUACAUCGGAAUCUACUUUUUCGUGGGGGAUAACGUAGGGAAACUUACGCUAAUACCGCAUACGACCUACGGGUGAAAGCAGGGGAUCUUCGGACCUUGCGCGAUUGAAUGAGCCGAUGUCGGAUUAGCUAGUUGGCGGGGUAAAGGCCCACCAAGGCGACGAUCCGUAGCUGGUCUGAGAGGAUGAUCAGCCACCCUGGAACUGAGACACGGUCCAGACUCCUACGGGAGGCAGCAGUGGGGAAUAUUGGACAAUGGGCGCAAGCCUGAUCCAGCCAUACCGCGUGGGUGAAGAAGGCCUUCGGGUUGUAAAGCCCUUUUGUUGGGAAAGAAAAGCAGCAGGUUAAUACCCCGCUGUUCGGACGGGACCCAAAGAAUAAGCACCGGCUAACUUCGU